GUCUGCACGCGCCAGCAUCAAUCCCAGCACUCGCCUCGUGUCACUCACUCCCGCAUCCUUUGAGAUCUCGCCCUGUCUUUCUCAAACAGGGGAAAACUGCGAGCGGCAAAAGCAGCUCCGGUUUCCAGUUCUGCUCCCUGCAGAAAACCCUCCCCUUUUCUCCCAAAAUGCUUAGCUGGUAGCUGAAGCCUCAGAGCACCCAUCCAAUUUAGCAAUUCAAGCUUCACCGGAAAAGAAAAUAGCCUUCAGAUUGUUUGUUCUCUUUCCUUCGCGGAGCAUCUGGUUGUUUGUGGAUGCUUGGGUCCAGAGGCGGGGAAGCGCGAACCUGCUGAGACGACAGAGACAGCUAAUUACCAUGGCCAACGGCAUCGAGAGCAGCUUUCCUCCGUCGAGUGCCGGGCUACAGCAGUCACAUCAAAUGCAGCUUUGAGCUGUCAGCAAGGGAGAAGCCGAACCUGCUCCUCUCCGCAGUGCAUACAAAACUGCUUCCAGCUCACUGGUGGUCUUCGACAGAGCAGGCAAGGCUGCUUCUUUUUGGUCAGCUGAAGAAGUAAAGCGCUUUACCUGCCUGUUCGAAAAGGCAGUGGAUCCUGCUGAUGUGGCUCCUCCACUCCUGCUGACUUCGGAGACCUGCUUGCGCUCACGUGACAGCAAGCAGUGACAGUUUCUUGGCUCUCCCACGGCCGUCCCACCGGUGGGUGAGCGGCUGCUGCCCGAGCCCAGCCUGGCCCCAGGGAGGUGGUGGGAGGCUUCGCGGCUGCGUGCAGCGGCUGCAGAGCUGAGUCCUUCUCCGGGGGAGCUGCAGACCCAGGUAGCAGGCAGGGGAACCAGUGCUCAUCCAAUAUCCUGAGGUAAAAACACAGACGAGACAGUAAAACUGAAGUAUCCCGUGAGAUAAAUUUACAGAGGUCGAUCUGAAGUGGGAGCACAGCGCUGACCUUGGGGUGAAGACAAGUCUUUGGAGGUCUGACAAAACCUCAGUGUCUGGGUGCGUUGUCAGAAUGUAAAAUAGAGUUAAGCUCCUGCUGCCUUUGACUCGUGAGCGUGACUUCAGCAGAAAUGUAUUUGGGAGAGCGGCGUGCUGAGCGGUUCGGGUUAUGGGCUGGCCCUGGACGAGCCGUUUUUGGCAGCAGCCCUGCACCUACGUCGUGCAAGAGUCCAAAACUGGCACUGCUGUGCCGCGCUUCGCUGCUCUGCUGCGGGAAAACUCAAGGAUGGAUCCGACCCUGGAGUUCAGACUCUUAAUGCAUGUAUCCAGAAAGACAUACCUGCUAAUUGGGCAGGAGCAAGUCAGUUUGGAGGGGUGUCACUUCUGUAAUAAGGUUAUGGAGGAACUGGGAUAUGGCACUGAAGAGUCAAAAAGACGAUGGUCCUUUGGACUUGGGAACCACGCUACGAUACUUAGCCAGGCUUGCCCGGGUCAAACCUCUGACUGGCUCUUCAGCAAACAGAGCAGAAAAUAGCAGCAUUCAUUUUUUUCUGGCCCUAGGUUUGGUAAUGGUGGCACAGCCAGUGGUUUUGUGUUAUUUUGAUUGAGUGGCUUCAUUUAAAAUAGGUGUGUGGGGGCGGAUGGGGGUUCGUUGCAUUGGUUUGAGCUCUGCAGGGCUGGACAGCGUUGGUGGGACCAGCCCUGAGCCUGGGCACGGGGCAGUCAGCACGUCGGAGCAGGCUGGCUGCGGUGCUCGGAGGGCGGAGGGAAAGCCGGUGCUGGUGGAGGUUAUUUUAAACAAAACGCGGAGUGGAGACAGGCCAGAAACCACGCUGGAAAAAUCUGUGGGGAGCAGUAGUAAUUCCUCUCGCCCACCAAAGGCUACCUCCUGCGUGUGUGCGCAAACAAUCCCGCCGAACUAGGGGGGCUCGCAGGCAUCGGCGGCGAAGUGGGGCUUGGCACCGGUUUCGCUGUGCUCGCAGGUGGGCCUGGAGAAGUGGUUGCGUUUGUCCCAUCUUCUGCGACCGGGUGGUUAAUGAGGGCUCCGGCUGCUCCUCUCCGAAAUCCUCAGCGAAAGGCUGGGGCAGCAGCUCUGGGCACCACACCUGGGACCUAGGAACUGGGCUGAACCCCCCGGUGUCCGUCUCAGGCACGAGGCAGGGGAGGAUGCCCUUGGCCACCGACAAGCCCUCGCCUUCCUGGCGGGUUGCCUCCUCAGUGCAAAAAUCGAGCAGUGCUCGGCUGCUGUGGCUUGCAAUGCUGAUACUUCAAGGCUGAAGGAGGGCUUGUUCCUGAAAAAAAAUGAACAAGAUUUUCAAAUUACACCAAUUUCUCUCUAAUGGUGUUAUCCCUCCCUAUAAACCUGGCCUGGGUACCUCAACCACUCCCCCAAGGAGCCGAGUGUUUGCGAUGGUCCUGAUGGUCCGAACCUCUCCCCAUGUGUACAGUGCGUGUGCGAAGGACUUUCCCAUUUGUUUGUUUAACUAGCAUCCUGCUGACUGGACAAUUAAGAAUUACCUUUGGGGAUGGGACAGAUGAGGAAGGAGCAAUUUAAAAAAAAAAACGUGUAAGCGGAUACAGAGAAGCAUCAGUAAACUGGAAAGGUAGGUGAAGGAGCAGGGGCCCUACAGCUCUGAGAAAGGCCAAGGGGGAGAGUCCCUCGAGCUGAGUGUUGGCUGGAAGAGGCUGGUAACUCUGGGCAAGGGGACAUGUGGUUGAGGCAGAGAAUUACAACAGCAUGUUCUUGAUAAAGAAAUAGGAUUGCAUCGAGAGACCUGCCUGCAUUGCCAAUUUGUUGUCUUAACAGAAACAACCCACAGAUCUGAAGUUUGAUCACAUCAGAAAGAGCUAAAGUGAUUUAUUGGUGGUUUUGAGGUGAGGAAGUUUGAUAGAUAGGAAGUUGGAAGAGGGCAAGCAACUUGUGCCUAGGAAGCUAGGAAGUCUGUGGCAGCGAGGUUGCACAUGGGUAUCUAACACUCCAAGUGAAUGUGCUAAUUCCUGGAGCAAUCUUUCUCUCUGACAACGACUGGCCUUGAGUGCCCUUUCCUUCUGCAGUAGGGCUGUUGCCAGAGUCCUGCUUUGUGAGUUACUUACUAAAUUUUAUUUAUGUAGUUUAUUUGCUUUGUUGUCUCAUUACAGGGAGAUCCAUCCUUGAGGUCUCUCUGAGUGCUGUCCCCUGGGAUUUAGGUUCAGAUCUUUCCUCUCCCAGGCACCUAGUCACAGGCUUGAGGUGCCAACCGCCUUGUGUAACCGCUGCUGGGAAUUCAGUGGGUUUAGAGCUUGGGAAAGGGUUUUGUGCUGGAGCCUAGGGCAGCUGAUUAAAUGUAACUCAAAAACAGCCACAACCCACACCAGCAUAACAUCAUGUUCCCUGUGGCUGGUCCCAGGAGCAAGAGACCACACUCGUCCUGGCUUGGCAGGAGAUAAGGCUGUGCUGACCUGUUGCCAGCCUGGGGCCAAAGGGAGCAGGUAAGAGACAUUCCUGCACUCUUUCUCUCUGCAGAGGUGCUCAGUUGGGUUUCCCUCCUCUUUCUGUGGGUGAUGAUUUUUUCUUUGUCUGUUUGGUCAGAAACAAAUUGGUAGGAAUGUUAUCUUGGACGCAUCUACCCCUUUUUUGAAUGUGGUUAAAACUGGCAAGCUGGUUGCAAAGUUCGAGGGUGGAGAGCAACCGACAGGCCAUAUCCUUGCAUGAACCUUGCUUCCUGAGCUAAAAAUGGGUCCUACAUCCUUCGCAUCAACUUCGCCUUCUCUUGCCGUCAAUCGGGCAGCUAAUUGCUUGCCGCAAGUAACAAAGUGGUCUGUUCACAGUCUGCCCUGACCGUGUCGAAGGGAAUCCUCCUUCCCUCUCCACCUCUUCUUGUUGUCGCUCUCCGCUCACUCAAACUCUUCCCUCCAGGGUCUUGGAGGUCUGAGGUCUUUGACCCAAGACUUAGCCCUGGGUAGAGUACCUCGCUGUGCCUGGGAGGUGUCCAGCCCUUGUUAUAUUCACUCCUUUGAAGCUGUGUAUCUGCAGCUUACUUAUCUGUACCACUGUUUUUACUCUUCCAAGCCCUUUUAGCGACACCUUCACAGUUGCCUUUGCCUUCACCGUAGGCAUCUGGCAGCACGAAACCAACCAGGGAACAGGAUUCACCCAUAACAUUAAUAAGAUAUUCCCACUCCAUCCCAUCUACCAGAGACACUGGCCGCAGAAGGAGGACUUGCUGGCUGCAAAGGGGGCUUCUUUCCUUUGCCUGGUGUCCCAGCAGCUUUCUUUCAUGUGAGGAGAAUUUUAGCAGUGUGCCAUGACCCCAGGCCUAAAAGCAGCACUGUGGUAUAAAAUGAGUACAGCUAUAGCGCUGUAUAUUGGAAAUGAGCCCGGAUGAAAAAUCCGCAUUUCAAAUGGCUCUGAACUUCAGAGAGAAGUUUUAACUCCAGACCAAGAACUAAUCGGUAAGAUUUUUUUCCCCUGGAUGCGUGUGUCCUCUGCUCAUCACCAAGGUGCUUGGGCACCCAAAGGCCCCUAGCACUGAUGAAAGCCAGACCUGCCAAAUGCUGAGACAUUCAAAAGCUGAUCAGGAUGAUGUGAAUGUUGAACCUAACUGUUUCAUUACCUACUUGACAAUGGUACAAGGGCUGUUUUCGCAGAAGGACAAUCAAUAUAGGGGAUUACGGUUCAUUUUAAGGGCUAGGUAAAAUCCCUAAGUGAGCAGUGUUUGGCCUGGAAUAGCUAAACGAGUUCUUCAUUCAGUUUGGCCUUCGCUCAGAACGAAUGGUUGAGACUCCCCUCCCCAACACCACUUAUUGAAAAUGUAUCUUUGUUUAAAGCCAUAGGGAGUUCAUUAGAGUUGCCUGUCUCUGGGCCACUAAGGAUUAAGGUGUGCAUACAUUAGCCAAAGCAAAAUACAUCAGGCCAAGGAGAGAAAAUAAAAUGGGCUGUAUUCACUGAAGCUGAGUACAAUUGUAUGUUGCCAUACCCCAGUGAAUAUGUCCCUGAAUCUCUUGCAUAUGAUUCUACACAGAAAUAAUUCAGGAAUGAAUAUGGGAUCUAUUUGCAUUUCAGCCUGUGGGACUGUAAGCGUGACUCCCGGCGGAGGUUGCUUGGAAGGGAGCCCACGAAGCCCCACUGAGAUUCCCAUUGAGAUACAUAUAGACCAUUGUGUGUUGCGCAUUAAUGCAGAGUAAUUAUGUCGUACUGGAAACCUUUCAAGUCAGCAUUCAUCAUUCAGAAAUCGUCUUAAACCAGUUUGUGCUGCUCUUGUGCUUGAAAGUGAAUUGUGCAAAAUUGGCAGCCAUAACCACCACUGCAACAGAGCGUAUAAAAGCCCUUUCAUUGUGGAGCUAGUGGUUUUACUGUAACUUCCCUGUCUCAUCAGCGAGCACCAUAAUUCACUGCAAAAAUCUAUAAAUCCUGGAACAUCCUGAGUCUUGGACUCGCUGUGCGUGAGUGACUCCAGCCUGGAGCUGUGGGAUCGUUGCUCCACGUCCCGAGGGUACCAUCGGCAGGCAGACAGCAGGCCUGGGCUGGCGGUCCCGUGCAAGUCGGUCCAGACUGCGCUUCCCAGGUGGUACGGCUGCGCUUCUGGGGCCGGAGUAGGGUGGUAGGAGGAACGUCGUCCUGAGCAGCAGUUCUCUGGCUGAGCUCGUGCAGAGGCGAGCAGGCCAUUUGCAAGUAUCGUGCUGAGAAAACUCUCCAGGGCCUCUGUUGCAGCUGCAACAUGAGAGAGAUGAUAAUGAAUAUCUCCUCUGUUCUGCGGCUUUUUGGGCUAUUCCUGAGUUUGAGGCAGGAUUGCAGUACUCAAAGAGCAAGCCUCCAGCCUCGUGCACCAAAUUAGAUGGUAAAAAUAAUUGUGAAGCAAUUCAUGGCUCAGUUUCAUUAUGUUCUGCUUUUUCUUUCCUUAGCAGUUGCAGCGUGCUUCAGACCUAUGAGAACAGCCUGAAGAUUCCUUUGAGAGAGGGUAGAAAUAAAGAACUUGGAAGAUUUAGGUUGAUGAAGAUCUUCCAAUUCAAACUGGUUUGAAAUGCAGUUCUCUGUUAUUUCAACAUCCAAUGUGCCAAUGUAAAAAUACCCUUCCAGGUAACUAGUGGUGGGAAGGAUUGAUAUGAUGAUAAAACCCUCUGAAACCAUAACUUAGAGAUAAAAUACUGUCCCCACUAAAGUCAAUGCUAAAACCACCAUGGACCUCAUUACAGUCAGAUUUUCACCAGGCUCUGAUUUUAGUGGGGCUGCUCACAUGCUUAUAGGAAGCCUAUGAAUAAGCUCUUGCAGACUUGGGGCCUUAACUCACAGUCCCAGCUGCUGGAGGUGGGAAAGAUAUAUUAGUUCAGCUUUUUGCCAUGUGGAAGGCUGCUCUCUACACGACAUUAAUUGUUCUCUGCCUAGCUUAAUAAGAGUCUGUUUUCAGCAGCCCAAUAUAACCAUGUAAUCGGAAGAAUUUCUGUUUAUUGUUAAAAUGUUUUCAUGCCUAGAAAAUGAGGACUUCUGGAAUGCGUCUGAUGGCAACACGACAUGGGCAUCAGGAGCAAGUGUAAAGGUCUGGAGUGCUGAACUCCGAUUUGCUGUGCAGCCAUGGCAUGCCCUGCUCUGCCUUCUGCUGCAACCAAGGCAUAAUUUAAUUUCAGAUUAAGGAGCCUAGGGCAGCAAGGACUUUUCAUUACAAGCACAGAAAUGGCAUGCUGAUUAUGCUGCCUGCUUGCGUGUGCUUUGUGUGUGCGAGUGCACAAGCAUAACGGGCGAUCCACCACGGUAGGAAAUGAUAAACAGCUGGGACAUGUCCAGAGCACAUGCGAGGCUCCUGCGGGGAGGGCGAGCCGUCAGAUGUGCCCGUGUUACGGCUUUCCCGCAGCAGGGAUGGCACAGAAAAUACCUCAGAAACACCCUUCUCCCCGGGAUAAUCCCAUGCCGGCUGGCCAGACCACUCACUGCAGCUACCACCACGCCAGCUGGCAUGUCAGGAAGGGAAAGACCGUCCAACCUUUGGGGUACCGACUUGCAAUUUAGGAGGUGUAGGUGCACAUCCUUUCCCCUCCUCAGCCCUGGUCUCUCAUGGGAGCUGUGCUGGAGGCAGCUGGGCUCUGCGAGACGCCAGAAAACAAGUGGAAAGCCCCCAACUACAGCUGAUGGCUUUUAAUUAGGCAGCACCUCCUUGGUUAAAUUAGUGGGUGCUCGCCUGGUUCAUCCUGCCUGAACCCCCCCCCCAGGCUCCAGCCUGGGGUCCAGCGGGUCUCACCUGGCUCUAAUUAGCACUGGAAGAAAGCGAAUGAAGUCCUCUCGGGAAGCAGUGUCAGAAACGGGCAUUUUUCAAGUUUUUCUUUCGCCAAUACAUGUCGCCGCCCUGGAAGGACAAGUGGGGUGUCAGGCACACGGGGCAGGGCCCCUCCGAGCGUCACGGCGAGUUGUCGCGCUCGGCGGCCGGGCGGCACGUGCAGGAAGGCUGCGGCAGCGGCGCGGGCAUGCGUGCCGCUAGCUGACCAGCCGCGGAUUUACUUGUUUAUUUUCCAGUAAGUGCAUAUGAGCCAGGAAAGUUACUGUUUUGGCUGCUUCUCCCUUCACCCUUGAAUGGUUUUUCAUCUUUAGGCAGCCACCUGUGUGCGGGGCACAAGGGACUCAUUGCUUUUUUCCAUUGCAUCCUGCACGUUUCCAAGGGGAGACCUCUCCCCUCCGUAAGCGUUCAAUGCAGCUCUUAUGCGCUGGCUCCAUAAAAAGCAGUAAAUACAGCACAGAAGCACGCUUUGUGCCUUCUCCUGCCGCAGAAAAGUGUUUUAGAGCAACUAGAAUUUCAAAGCUUCCUCCGAUAGGACGUUUCGUUCCCCGUGGGAUUUUGGGCACCGUGAGGCCUCGCUAACUCAGCAAAUGUAUUUACGUUUGUGAAGCGGAGAGCCACAAGGCAGGAAUUCAGAGCAAGCCCAACUUCUCAGCGCAGAACCAAUAACAUUACCAGCACCUUAGGGCAGCUGCAAACAAGGGCUUCAUUUAUAGACGGGAAAGUGUAAUACAAAGUGAUUCUCGGCCACAGGAAAAGGGAAAAUAGCCCAGGUAAACGUGUAGUGGGAACUGCAAACUGGAUUCUUUCUGAACGGUUUAAUAAUUCUUUGUUUUUCCGCGAAAGCCUUCCGGUAUUAUGAGUAAUAACCCCCAUUCCUACAUGCUAAAGUAAUUAGAUUGCAAAAUGCGAUGGCUUUAGAAUACAUCUAUGGCUUUUGUUAUUUACUGUUUUCUUUUAGGUUUGUUUCUUUACCCCCAUGAUGAGUCUAAUUGAAAUCCAAAUGAAAUCAGAGCGUAAAAUAAAUGGUGACAAGCUGGGUA